UGCAUGUGCCUUAAAUUAAUACAUGUAGAUGAUGCAAUUAUAUUCCGUAAUCAAUCUAUAUAGAGGGAAUAUGAUAUUAAAUCAGGACAAUGAAUAUGUCAACAACGAGAGGAAUUUCCACUUUUGUUCCUAUAUGAAUAAGCAGAAUCGUUAUGAAUUUUAAUUGACAGUAACACUUCAAAACGUUUUCAUCGAUAGAGAAUAAAAGGACAGUUAGACUACCCAGAUAUGGCGAGAAGCAAGCGACCAGUCUCCGCUGACAUAUCUGCUAUGAAGACCUUUAAUUCUCCUGGAAAAGUCACGAUUUACCAUUUAGGUCGGCAGAUUUUUAUCUGUGUACCUGAGAAUGCUGAACAGAAAGAGGUCUCCCAGAAAACCCUAGAAGAGGGCCAAGCAGACCAGACAAGGGACAAUGGAGAAUGACAUGUGCAUACUAAUCAAAGUCACAUUAUUCCAAAGUAAUACGACACAUAAAGAACUUGUAUAUCAACAGGGAAUGCUUACUCCUCCAAGACACCUGGUCCAACCUUUGGUGCAUUGUAUGCCCUGGGGUCCGUGCUUGCCCUUAUAAUUCUCUUUAUAGGACUUGCGAGAUUGAUCACUAUUCGUUAUCUUCAAUUGUAUCUGGGUCACAGUAAAUGUGGUCAGAUAUAACCUUACAACCGUUUUAAUGAUUGGAAAGGAAAGUGCAGGACAGUAUCGUAUAUUUUAAACACGUGUGCCAGCACUAAACACGUGUACCAGCACAGGUACCAUCUUGUCUGUUACAAUUACCCGAUUGAACAAGAGAUAUUGACAAUGAAAAAAUAAGUUUUGAAAUGUAUAAACUAUUGAUUGUGGCUGUGUGGUUAGUUUUUGAAACGUAUAAACUAUUGAUUGUAGCUGUGUGGUCAGUUUUUGAAAUGUAUGAAACAACUUAGAUGCAGAACUGUAGCUCUCUGAGAAAAUAUUGGGACAGAUCAGGGCAGUCUGUCCCCGAGGAUACUUGUCGCUCGAUAUAUGUUCCUUCAUGAAUAUAGUUAUGAGAUUGAUCACUGUUCGUUAUUUUCACCUUUUAUCAGAGAGCUAUAGACCCACCCCUUACAAAAAACCUUCGAUUUACGGCGCACAAAAAAUGCGCCCGUUUGAGGCCUCAUAUCGUUAUAUUCUUGUAUCGUCGUCUUAUAAAUUUAAUAUGAAAAAAUCCUAACAUAUUUUCCUACUAUACUUAUGUACAAACAUACCCCAAAUAUUCAUUAAAGCAUGUAGAACGUAGAAAAAUCUGAUAAUUAAUUACGAUGCUAAUAAACUU